rnacentral:rRNA from 1 species
GACGAACGCUGGCGGCGUGCCUAACACAUGCAAGUCGAGCGGAGAUAGACUGAUGGUAACUGAAGUUUGUCUUAGCGGCGGACGGGUGAGUAACACGUGGGCAACCUGCCUUGGAGUGGGGGAUAACACCGGGAAAUCGGUGCUAAUACCGCAUAACAUACACAAGCUGCAUGGUAUGUGUAUCAAAGGAGUAAUCCGCUUUAAGAUGGGCCCGCGGCUGAUUAGCUAGUUGGUAAGGUAACGGCUUACCAAGGCGACGAUCAGUAGCCGACCUGAGAGGGUGACCGGCCACACUGGAACUGAGACACGGUCCAGACUCCUACGGGAGGCAGCAGUGGGGAAUAUUGCGCAAUGGGGGGAACCCUGACGCAGCAACGCCGCGUGGAGGAAGAAGGUCUUCGGAUUGUAAACUCCUGUCUUCUGGGAAGAUAAUGACGGUACCAGAGGAGGAAGCCACGGCUAACUACGUGCCAGCAGCCGACGGUAAAAGUCACGUCG